rnacentral:lncRNA from 1 species
UCAUAGCCACGGCAACCAGCGAUGAAUACACUGCACCGGAAGAGAAGAUGACCCACCUGCAUUUCUACUUUCACGAGAUAUACGCCGGCGCAAACGUGACCACGAUGGUCGUCGCAGUCCCGCCGGGCACCAACUCCUCGUUCACCACCUUCGGCGCGCUCGUCGUCAUCGACGACAUGCUGAGGGAAGGCCCGGACCCGAGCUCGAAGCUCAUCGGGAGGGCGCAGGGGCUGGUGGCGCAGGCCUCCCAGGAGGGCUCGGCGCUGCUCACGGCUUUCAACUUCGUGUUCACGGAGGGGGAGUUCAACGGGAGCACGCUGGCGAUCCUGGGCAGGGCCAAGCUGAGUGAGCCGCCGGUCGAGCGCAGCAUCGUCGGAGGGUCGGGCAAGUUCCGGAUGGCCAGGGGGUACACCGAGGCUCGAGUCAUCAGUUCGAAGGACGGCUACUUCCUCAUGGAGUUCGAUGCCUAUGUCACUCAUUACUGAAUUGUUUCACGUUAAUGUUUGCGGAAAUAAGCGCUUUUGGCUAUUUGGAUGUGUUCGGAGGCUGAUGCAUGUUUUCCCUCCUUGGAUAUAUAGAGCAAGCAAUAAGAAAACCUUCGGGUUUGCUUCAAACAAUUUAGAGUCUGCAAUCUUGUUUCCAAAACAUGUUUGCUUCAGCAGCCGGUACUUUCCAGCAGUAACAUAGUAACUCCACAACUACAAUUCCUUUUACCUGUCUUCAACAUCAACACAACCGGCAAAAUAAGAAGAUGUUGCCGUGAACACCACGCUGCUUGAAGCUUUCUUUCGCGGUCAAUACGUUUACUUUGAACCGGCAGUGUCUGCCACUUUGUCUUGACUCUGAGUUCUAGAAAUCAAAGGUAUAAAUAUUAAAAUGGUAUCAUAAUAUAUAUAUAUAUAAUAUGAAAGUCAAUUAUGAUCAAAAUAUAUUGACAAACUGAUCGAGAAAUAAAAAUCGUUAUCACAAAGCGGCGGCUGGGGAAGGGAGAUGGGUGGGGACGCGGGCUGCCCGAGGCGGAGAGCGGGUAGCGGCGGUGGCCGGGAAAGGCAGCCAAGAGGGGCGAGGGCUGCUUGAGGCAGAGAGAGGGAAGAGAGAGAGAGAGGUACCGCCGGAGGGGAGGCGUUGCCGAUCACCGAUCGCCGACAGCGGAGAGUUGAGUUUCGAAUCUCGUUGAGAAAUGAGUCGGCGCUUCGCUGGGAUUGAAAUGGAAGGCGUAGGAUUCGAUGAGUUCCCGAUCGUCCACCAUCCUACUGCAUAGACCAUCUAUCCGACGCUUCUGAAUCUAAUUUGUUUCGGUCUUUGUCGUAACGAGGUGUUCUUUUAUGCACCAACAGAAGAUUGGUGCAAAAAGUCACGAGCGGCUGUUCUUUAUUUUCCUUCGAGUGCAAAAGGUCACCCGCGAGCAAUACUUCUAAUGGAAAUGGAGGAACGCCGCAUAUGCGACGACAACUGAGUGAGAAUACAACUCAAGACAUCACGCAGCGGCAUCCACCUUCAGCUCAGUUAUCACCAUCGAAAGGUCUCCGUCGCACACAGUCUGGUCUCAUCCUCCUCCAUGCGUUCCGGUAAGAACGCAAAUCAACAGAUAAUUUUCCAUUGAUUUUGAAGACGGCAGCACAUUGUUUCGUUGAAUGCACUGUACACGCCUCCUAAUGCAUCAUCGUUUGACUACUUGCAUGGAUUUGACUGAGCGAGCUAUGUACUGUAGAAAAAUCGAGGAAAAUAAGUAACUUGUUGAUGUCGAAGAGUCUUUACCGUCCAUUUGGACUUGUCAGCAGCAUCCACAUGAAUCUCACCGUCUGAUCAAUCAACAUCUUAAAAGGUGUUAUAUCAAUUUAAGUGUACUUUUCUUACCUGUCAAUCUUUUCUUGACUUGUCCACCAUAGUACAUUCGGUUGUUGGCGUCAACAAGCAUCCAUUUGAAAUAGUUCAAUUAUAUAUGUAACACUGUUUUCUAAGAGACACUAUUGAAGCUUCUCCUUCUUUACCUAAUGCCUACAAUAACCUCCACCCACCUAUCCUUUUUCCUUUCUUUUCUUAUAAUAUUUUCACAAUGGGCUAUAAUAUUUUUAAUAAUACUAGGAAAAAAAAACCAUAACAUAUGUUAUAGUAUUUUUCUGAUAUUCUUGAAAACACUGCAACUUAGUGUAAAAAAAAUCGUAAACAUAGUAUUUUUACAUAAUAGCGUAAUAAUUUUACGCUACAUUAUAUUGUUGAAAGCACUAGUAUUAUCCGAUUAUCAUCGUGUAAAAAUAUUAUAAUAUUUUCACAAUGGGCUAUAAUAUUUUUAAUAAUACUAGGAAAAAAAACCAUAACAUAUGUUAUAGUAUUUUUCUGAUAUUCUUGAAAACACUACAACUUAGUGUAAAAAUAUUGUAAACAUAGUAUUUUUCCAUAAUAGCGUAAAAAUUUUACGCUACAUUAUUAUCCGAUUAUCAUCGUGUAAAAAUAUUAUAAUUGGAUAAAUUUAUUGUGUAUUAGAUUAAAAAAAUUAGUAGGGAAUUUCGAAAAUGAGGACACUUUUAAUCAUAUUAAUUGUGGAGGGAUAUAUUUGUAAUUUUGCCAAUCCAAAAAAUGUGAUUCCCACCCUUUUUGGUUUUCUAAAGUUGUGGAUAAUUAAGGAAACGUAAUAAAUCCCUCUUAAACUCCGCUAUAAAGCCACAGCCUCUUCUCCACCCCAUUCCUCCAUCCGCUUCUUGGCUAAGUGCACCACAAGCUUCUCCAUGGCCUACUCCUCCUCUCCCUGCGUGCUUGUUCUUCUCCUUCUUCUUCCCUUCUCCCUCUCUGCCUUUGUUGCCACCGCAGAGAGCCAUGAAUACACUCCACCCCCAGAGAAGAUGACGCACCUCCACUUCUACUUCCACGAGAAAUACACCAGCCCGGAGGCGACCGCGGUCCUCGUCGCGGUCCCUCCCGGCACCAACGCCACCUUCGACACCUUCGGGGCGCUCAUCGUCAUCGACGACGUGCUGAGGGACGGCCCCGAGGAGAGCUCCAAGCUCAUCGGGAGGGCGCAGGGGUUGGCGGCGCAGGCCUCCCUGGAGGGCACGCAGAUACUGACGGCCGUCAACUUCGUGUUCACGGAGGGGGAGUACAACGGGAGCACGGUGGCGAUCCUUGGCCGGAUUGUCCCCACCGUAUCGCCGACCGAGCGGGCCAUCGUCGGAGGGUCGGGCAAGUUCCGGAUGGCGCGGGGGUACACGGUGGGCAACACCUACAGCUUCAGCGGAGGCUACUUCAUCUUGGAGCUCGAUGCUUAUAUCAUCCAUUACUGAGCUGCGUGC